rnacentral:rRNA from 1 species
ACGAAAGUCUGACGGAGCAACGCCGCGUGAGUGAUGAAGGUUUUCGGAUCGUAAAGCUCUGUUGUUAGGGAAGAACAAGUACCGUUCGAAUAGGGCGGUACCUUGACGGUACCUAACCAGAAAGCCACGGCUAACUACGUGCCAGCAGCCGCGGUAAUACGUAGGUGGCAAGCGUUGUCCGGAAUUAUUGGGCGUAAAGGGCUCGCAGGCGGUUUCUUAAGUCUGAUGUGAAAGCCCCCGGCUCAACCGGGGAGGGUCAUUGGAAACUGGGGAACUUGAGUGCAGAAGAGGAGAGUGGAAUUCCACGUGUAGCGGUGAAAUGCGUAGAGAUGUGGAGGAACACCAGUGGCGAAGGCGACUCUCUGGUCUGUAACUGACGCUGAGGAGCGAAAGCGUGGGGAGCGAACAGGAUUAGAUACCCUGGUAGUCCACGCCGUAAACGAUGAGUGCUAAGUGUUAGGGGGUUUCCGCCCCUUAGUGCUGCAGCUAACGCAUUAAGCACUCCGCCUGGGGAGUAC